CCGACAGUAAAUAAAGGGAAAAAAGAAGUCUAUCCUUUCGAGCGCCGCGCGGGGCGAGAAGCUCAACGCUAUGGCGAUGCGGCGCUCGAAGCUUAGCGCUAUGGCGAUGGCGGAGGCGGCAGACGACGGAUUUCAGUUCCUAUUAGAUCCAACCGGCAGCGGCAGUAAAUCAUUACUGGAUGGCGAAGCAAUUCAAACUUUGGUGUGCACAGCCACUGAAUCCAGCAUUGGUGAUGUGGGCGAUACAGAAGAGACAAUACAAGUAGAUGUCAACAGCACUUGCAAUGGAGUGGCCCUGUCCCUGGCAAACUCAGAACAUUCAACAAGCAAAGAUAACCCGCAAGCACCUGGCUGGACAAAGAGGUAUACAAGUGUCAAUGCGUGUUUCUAUUUCGAACAUAUGCCAACUUUGACUGGCAUGUAUGUUCCCUCAAAAAAUACAAAAGUGUAGUUAAAGUGUUGAACAUUUGUAUUGUUUGUGGGAGUCAACAAUCACUUCCAAAGUGUGAUUUUCGGUGGGGGUCUUAGUAAGGGAUGAGACAGUGGAAACAUUUACAUUGGUGUUCACUGGAUUUAUCCGCAUGAUGGGCGGCAAACAUCCACAGAACUUGCUCACAGUGCAGAGCCGUGGAGGUUGUAGCAAUAGAUAAGGUGAUGCCAAAUACCAGACAUCGCUGGUGCAAGUGGCAUGGCCUGAAGAAGGCAAAAGAAUCUCAUGGCUCAAAUUGCACAAAGAGAAGCAAGUUUAGAACGGACUUCCACAAGAUAAUACACCACGUGCUGACAGCUGAUGUGUUUGAGACUGGAUGGAAUUGAUUGACAGAAACACAUGGUUUGCAAAAACACCCUUACCUUACUCAAAUCUACUCCGUGCAGAACCAUAUUUCAAGAACACAACCGCCACCGUGCAUCACAUGUAGUUGUUGUGCACGACACAAUGUGUUUAGAAGAUAGAAUUCAGUCGAACAAGUCGAAAGGUAAAGAAGUGAUUGUGUUGCAUGAACCACACAAUGGAUAUGGGCUGAUGUUGUAGGUAGUGCAGUUGGAAAUUUCAUUGGGUUAACUACUACAGAGCGUAAAUGGAAGGUCGGUCGACCAACCAGCAGCAGGGACAAGCCUCCAUAUAUGAUGAUCGCUAUGCAAAGAGCCAAAAAUGUAAGUUGGUGCCACAUAUGGGUGUUGCUGGAGAAUUUGGUACAAGCAAGCAUACACGCUUUUGCAGUAUAUGUCGUCAGCCAGGGCACAAGAGCACCACGUCUCCAUAGAGCGGUGACCUCCCUCAAAUGGCAUGAAAAGAAGCAAAAUGCUCGAACUGCGGAGUGGGAGGGAUCGGAAGAACACCUGCAACAACCCUGAGGUUGUGCUACAUGUUGCCGAGAAAGGUGCCCUUGUACGGGCUGUAGCUCUGUGAUUGAACUGAAUAAGCAGUGCGUAGCACUGACAUUUGGCUGUUUUUCCUUGUAUGAUGAGGCUUAGUAGCCAUUGGUGUGAAAUGGAUUAUGCAUUGUCGGGUUAGUAAUUGUGAUGAUGUUUCUCUUCGAUUA